GACGAACGCUGGCGGCGUGCUUGACACAUGCAAGUCGAACGGAGAGGCCCUGCUUUUGUGGGGUGCUCGAGUGGCGAACGGGUGAGUAACACGUGAGUAACCUGCCCUUGACUUUGGGAUAACUUCAGGAAACUGGGGCUAAUACCGGAUAGGAGCUCCUGCUGCAUGGUGGGGGUUGGAAAGUUUCGGCGGUUGGGGAUGGACUCGCGGCUUAUCGGCUUGUUGGUGGGGUAGUGGCUUACCAAGGCUUUGACGGGUAGCCGGCCUGAGAGGGUGACCGGCCACAUUGGGACUGAGAUACGGCCCAGACUCCUACGGGAGGCAGCAGUGGGGAAUAUUGCACAAUGGGCGGAAGCCUGAUGCAGCAACGCCGCGUGCGGGAUGACGGCCUUCGGGUUGUAAACCGCUUUCGCCUGUGACGAAGCGUGAGUGACGGUAAUGGGUAAAGAAGCACCGGCUAACUACGUG
rnacentral:rRNA from 1 species